rnacentral:snRNA from 1 species
CUGUCCCUGUCUACUAUC